GGAAACACAUUAUCGAGAUGACAUAUUAAGAGUGUUAUAAUUGAUUUACAAAUGACGACUGCUUGAUAAUUAAAGAAAAGGAAUUACAUUCCCUAUAGUUCCUUCAAAUAAACUCAUCUAUGUGUUAAAAGGUAACUGUGUGAUAUGACUGUAGUAACAGCGGCAGAUCUAUGAAAAUAUGGAGUCACACGGAUUGCUGAUGGGCUGCCUGCAUUUGGAAGCAACCCCCACACUGUUUGACUAUGCAGUAUAAAUUGCAGCUCCCUAUCCAAAGAGCCACACUUUCAAGUACUUUUCACCACUAUUGUUUAAUGUAAUGUGUAGCGAUUAAAAUUGAUCCACGGGAUAUUUUAGUGAAAGAAAAGUCAUAUUUCCACUGCGAAGGAAAAGUAAAAUUGAAAGAGAACCAUAGUUUAAAUAAAAUGACCACAAUGGGGUAUGUUUGUGAUACAACUACAACCUGAUACAUACAGUGAGUCAGUCAACGUGCAGCAAGAGUAAUGGUACAAUGAUUGUGCUGUGUUGCAACCAUUUCACAGAGCGCAGUUGUGACUGUCUCAGGCUUGGGUUCCUGCACCUUUAAGAUCUGUGUGAUCAACAAUUCCAGCUCUGCCACCUGGAUGUAGCUAGGCCUUUUAGCAACCACUGGGAAUGUGCCCCAGGCAAGCCCAACUCUUCCCCUAUCACCCCUGUGGCAUAUUGAAACACAACAGGGUCUGUUGGAUGAGUGACACAUUCCUCUUCUGUCAGCCUCUGAAAGGACUUCAUUUACAAGCCCUGGAGUUGUGCUACUUGACUGACAGGUCGUGGAAAAAAAAGUCAUUCAGUUCCAUUAAGCUCAAUAAAUCCUGCAGAACAAAACACCUAAAAGAGGCUUUAAAAAAGGCCGCGGAGAGUGCGGGCAUGAGCUCCAGGAAAAAAAAAGUAAAUUCUUUUCAGGUUCAAAGACAUUAUUUCUCAUUGUGUUCUGUCUAUCAAUUACACUGGCAUUCCCAGAGGGUACAUAGAUCAGUUCUCAUUGGUGUCAUUCACGUGUCAAUCAGACUGGCAUGAACACCAAAGGGCCUCAUGUUGUGCUACGGAAACUGUCUGUCAGGCAAUCAGCAGCUGCUAUGACAUCAUCUGGGAACACUUUAGUAAAAAAAAAGCCAAAUCCCAGAACUCCAGUUGAGUCCGUGUUAAUAUUUUCCUUUAGCCUGACCCUCACUUUUCAAAAAAAUAAAACACGUUCCAAACUGUCUGCAAGAUGAAGAUAAAUAAUUCCACAUCAGGAGAGCGUCUGCCACGACCUAAGACUUGCAGCUCUCAACAACUGGAUAAAAUCUGGAUAUUCCUGAUAUGUCAUUCACCACCAUUCUCCACAUACACAACCUUUGUGCAUGAUUUCUGGCUAUCAGUCCAGAGUUAAGAUUUCCAGCAUCUGCAGUAUUUUACUUCUCACUUCCAUUCUUGGAACAACAGCCUCUGGUAAUGUGAUUGUCUCUUGACAAGACCAAGAGAACCAGCUCACUUUGGAGUUGUUAAUAUUUCUUUAUAUCGCUGUUCAUUCUAAACAUUCAGUACUUAUAUUUGAAUAUGGGAGAUGUUAGAAAUAACUCUUAAAUGCCACUUGAGGUUUUCUUAUUGUUAUAAAUGUUUAAUUCUGUACUCAAAGUAUGCGUUAAGAAGCUGUUAAAAGAAGCUUUAUAUCAUUUCAAGAAAUGAUGAUUUCCAAUAAAUGCGAAACUAACCA